rnacentral:rRNA from 1 species
UGAGUUUGAUCCUGGCUCAGGACGAACGCUGGCGGCGUGCUUAACACAUGCAAGUCAACGGGAAAGAUGUAGCAAUACGUCGAGUACAGUGGCGCACGGGUGAGUAAUAUGUAAGUAAUCUGCCUAUAGGAUGGGAAUAACUCCGCGAAAGCGGGGCUAAUACCGAAUAAUGCAGCGGCACCGCAUGGUGAUGUUGUUAAAGAUGCAGCAAUGUAUUGCCUAUAGAUGAGCUUGCAGCCGAUUAGCUAGUUGGCAGGGUAAAGGCCUACCAAGGCAACGAUCGGUAGCUGGUCUGAGAGGAUGAUCAGCCACACUGGAACUGAGACACGGUCCAGACUCCUACGGGAGGCAGCAGUGAGGAAUAUUGGGCAAUGCCCGAAAGGGUGACCCAGCAACGCCGCGUGGAGGAUGAAGGCCGUAAGGUUGUAAACUCCUGUGAGAUGGGAAGAAAGUCUAUAAUUCGUAAGGGUUAUAGUUUGACUGUACCAUCAGAGGAAGCCCCGGCUAACUACGUGCCAGCAGCCGCGGUAAUACGUAGGGGGCUAGCGUUGUCCGGAUUUACUGGGUGUAAAGGGCGCGUAGGCGGGUUCGUAAGUCAGUGGUGAAAUCUCCCGGCUUAACCGGGAAACUGCCUUUGAUACUGCGAAUCUUGAGUUCAGAAGAGAGAGAUGGAAUUCCAGGUGUAGUGGUGAAAUACGUAGAUAUCUGGAAGAACACCAGUGGCGAAGGCGAUCUCUUGGUCUGAAACUGACGCUGAGGCGCGAAAGCGUGGGUAGCAAACAGGAUUAGAUACCCUGGUAGUCCACGCUGUAAACGAUGAUUACUAGGUGUUGGUCCCAUAGGGAUCAGUGCCGCAGCAAACGUAUUAAGUAAUCCACCUGGGGAGUACGAUCGCAAGGUUGAAACUCAAAGGAAUUGACGGA